rnacentral:rRNA from 1 species
UGGGGAAUAUUGCACAAUGGGCGAAAGCCUGAUGCAGCGACGCCGCGUGCGGGAUGAAGGCCUUCGGGUUGUAAACCGCUUUUAAUUGGGAGCAAGCGAGAGUGAGUGUACCUUUUGAAUAAGCACCGGCUAACUACGUGCCAGCAGCCGCGGUAAUACGUAGGGUGCAAGCGUUAUCCGGAAUUAUUGGGCGUAAAGAGCUCGUAGGCGGUUUGUCACGCCUGGUGUGAAAGUCCAUCGCUUAACGGUGGAUCUGCGCCGGGUACGGGCAGGCUAGAGUGCAGUAGGGGAGAUUGGAAUUCCCGGUGUAACGGUGGAAUGUGUAGAUAUCGGGAAGAACACCAAUGGCGAAGGCAGAUCUCUGGGCUGUUACUGACGCUGAGGAGCGAAAGCAUGGGGAGCGAACAGGAUUAGAUACCCUGGUAGUCCAUGCCGUAAACGGUGGAUGCUGGAUGUGGGACCCUUCCACGGGUUCCGUGUCGGAGCUAACGCGUUAAGCAU